AGUCGCUGCACAUGCUGGCUGGCCUGUGGUACGUGCACAACAGUCAAUGCGACCUCCAGACUUCCCCGUCCCCACUGUUUCCCUUUCGCCUACCGGUGACGUCGUCGCCCGGUCGCUCCUCGCCGUAUCAAAAGCAGCCCACAAAGAUCUCCAGAAAAAGUUCCCGAUCGUGAGGACGAUGACGACCCAGCAAGAGAAAUCGAGGAGGCAGAGGAAGGGGAACCGAAGCCGGAGAUGGAGGUCGGCCGCUACUGCCGCGAUCCCGCCCAAGGGUUUGCCCCUAAAUAUUUAAAAUUGGCACUUUUUAGUUUUGGUGGGCACCAUAAAUGAUCAAUAUGGGGACAUCUGAUAGAUUCCUUGGAGUGCUAAAUGCUGCACCGGGUUUGUCCCAAAUCAUUUAAGAGCUUGGCAGGCGACAGGCGUAGCAACGGGAAUCUACUCCUCACCAUUCAGAAUUCAGAUGGAAAGGAAGAUGCAAGAAACAUCUUUGAGAACCGAGAAAAUGUUUUGAAAGUGAAAAGAUUGUUACAACAAUGUGCUUUGGGUGUUAAGGACAACUAUUUCUGCUAGUAAACAUGACUACAAGAAGACAAUAAGACGAUAAGUUGGCAUCCCAGCAUAACCCAGAUAAGAAGUUUGACAACAAACAGAAAUGUUUUCAUCAAACUGCUCUUGGUUAUGAGAACUCAGUGAUUGUGAUGAGCAUGUGGUGAACCACACUGUUUCUGCUCGAUAAUGGAGAAGAUGACAGUAGCAUCGGUACGGGAGGUACCUGGGGAGAUCACUGCCAUUGCAAACUGCAUCUUAAUGGCUUGCUUGAUACAACCACUUGGCAUUGUGAUCGCCAGAGCGGCACAGCCCUUCUUUCCUCAUUGGCAUCUUCAUUUCCUAGCAGAGUUUUAUCAUGGGCCAACCUCUUUGCAGUGAACUCUUGCUCCUCUGCAAUUGUGGUGCUGUCUUUAACGAUGUUCAACUUCCAGUGUGCUGGUGUUUCAUGGCAAAGGUAGUCAUGGAAGUUUCAGAUAUGUGCAGGUGUUCCCACCACGGUGGCACGGUGCAGUGGCUUGGUUAUUCUUGAACUUGAAUGAGAUAGUGCACAGGGGGGAGUUCAGAUUCCAAUCUGAUGGGCAAGGUUUUCGUUUGCUGGAGGUUUUCAAUUCGACUUCUGAGUUUUUGUGACAAACCCAUACUCUCGUGGUGCCAGUCUUGAGCACUGAAGAGAUUCCCAGGCCCGUGAACACAGCUUUGGCAUCCGCGCGAGUCAACGGACACAGAAACCGGUGGCGGGUGCAGGCUGAUCAGUCGGUCGCGUUGUUCCAUGGCUCAGCUUGCAACUUGCGAGUUUGCGCAAUUGCAUAGGAAGUUCAGUUCAGCUGGAGUUGGAUCUAUCCAAGAGAUGCCACAGCUUUUGACUUUCCUUGGGAGAAUGGGAGGCCGCCUCUGCCGGUCUAGGCUUCACCCCAAAUCCCAACUUUAGUAGUAUGUAAAAAGAAGAUUCUCCAUCACAUCAAACUUGUGGUACAUGCAUGGAGUACUAAAUGUAGACGAAAUUAAAAACUAAUUGCAUAGUUUUGUUGUAUUU